CUGACACAGGGAGGUAGUGACAAUAAAUAACAAUGCCGGGCCUUUACAGGUCUGGCAAUUGGAAUGAGAACAAUUUAAAUCCCUUAUCGAGUAUCAAUUGGAGGGCAAGUCUGGUGCCAGCAGCCGCGGUAAUUCCAGCUCCAAUAGCGUAUAUUAAAGUUGUUGCAGUUAAAAAGCUCGUAGUUGGAUUUCUGGCAGGAGUGACCGGCCGCACACACUGUGUGCGAGUUGCGUCAUUCUGGCCAUCCUUGGUGAGAUCCUGUUUGGCAUUAAGUUGUCGGGCAGGGGAUAACCAUCGUUUACUGUGAAAAAAUUAGAGUGUUUAAAGCAGGCUUAUGCCGUUGAAUAUAUUAGCAUGGAAUAAUAAGAUAGGACUUUGAGUCUAUUUUGUUGGUUUGCGAGUCAAAGUAAUGAUUAAUAGGGACAGUUGGGGGUAUUCGUAUUUCAUUGUCAGAGGUGAAAUUCUUGGAUUUCUGAAAGCGAACUACUGCGAAAGCAUUUACCAAGGAUG
rnacentral:rRNA from 1 species